rnacentral:rRNA from 1 species
GAUGAACGCUGGCGGCGUGCCUAAUACAUGCAAGUCGAGCGAAUGGAUUAAGAGCUUGCUCUUAUGAAGUUAGCGGCGGACGGGUGAGUAACACGUGGGUAACCUGCCCAUAAGACUGGGAUAACUCCGGGAAACCGGGGCCAAUACCGGAUAACGUUUUGAACCGCAUGGUUCGAAAUUGAAAGGCGGCUUCGGCUGUCACUUAUGGAUGGACCCGCGUCGCAUUAGCUAGUUGGUGAGGUAACGGCUCACCAAGGCAACGAUGCGUAGCCGACCUGAGAGGGUGAUCGGCCACACUGGGACUGAGACACGGCCCAGACUCCUACGGGAGGCAGCAGUAGGGAAUCUUCCGCAAUGGACGAAAGUCUGACGGAGCAACGCCGCGUGAGUGAUGAAGGCUUUCGGGUCGUAAAACUCUGUUGUUAGGGAAGAACAAGUGCUAGUUGAAUAAGCUGACACCUUGACGGUACCUAACCAGAAAGCCACGGCUAACUACGUGCCAGCCGCCGCAGUAA